rnacentral:rRNA from 1 species
GGGGAAUUUUCCGCAAUGGGCGAAAGCCUGACGGAGCAAUACCGCGUGAGGGAGGAAGGCUUUUGGGUUGUAAACCUCUUUUCUUAAGGAAGAAGAUCUGACGGUACUUAAGGAAUCAGCAUCGGCUAACUCCGUGCCAGCAGCCGCGGUAAUACGGAGGAUGCAAGCGUUAUCCGGAAUUAUUGGGCGUAAAGCGUCCGCAGGUGGCCUUUCAAGUCUGCUGUCAAAGACCAGAGCUCAACUCUGGGCCGGCGGUGGAAACUGGGAGGCUAGAGUACGGUAGGGGUAGAGGGAAUUCCCAGUGUAGCGGUGAAAUGCGUAGAGAUUGGGAAGAACACCAGUGGCGAAGGCGCUCUACUGGGCCGGAACUGACACUGAGGGACGAAAGCUAGGGGAGCGAAAGGGAUUAGAUACCCCUGUAGUC